AAAUACGGAGAUUAUGAUUCUGAAAAAAAGUUUCCAAAAAUUCUUGUACUUGCGGUUACGGAAAAAAUGAAAAAUGAAUAAAUUGGAGGGCGAACGUAAAUUCCAAAAUGCCGAUUUUUUUGCAAUUUUCCGGAAUCUCCGUAUAUGAAAACGGAGGAUUUUGGUGAAAAAAAUGGGGGGCGAUGAGGUCUUUCCGGGUUCCGUUUAUAUCUCUGCCAUAUGAGCCGUACUAAGUAAAAAAAUUCAACGCACUGCUAAGUGAUUAAAUUUAGUUCAUACAUUCGUUUUCUGAUUGAAUGCAUACCAAGAGAUUUAGAAUUCACGGAUUCCGGCUUAGGUUGAUACGUCAUUUCCGUUUUGCAUUGGAGGUCAAGGUCCUUAGAACACAUCCAUAUCCGGCAAGUUUCUCUACUCUGUGUCGCAGGCGCGUCAUGAUAGUUUGCUUCGAAACUGGAGGUCCCCAGGUUCGAUUUCAAUGCGUAGUAUUUACGGCAAAUGUCUUUUUUUUAUUUUAUAGCUUCGAGUUGACCCACACUUUGUGAGGGAAACUGCGAAGAAGUAUGGAAAACGGAUUGAACAUGUCAUUCAAAUAGUACGGCCAUGUCACUGAUUUUGCACAAGAUCCCGAAAGUUUUGGUACUUAUUUAUGGACACCGAAAGGACGAAAGACAAAGCCGACAUCGGGAGAAUUUGAACUAAGAACUUGAAGACAGGCGAUUGUUUCUCGUUUAGCAACAAGGCCAGCAAUAUUAUUCGCCCCCCGAUGAAAAGCAAAAUUAACUUACUUUACAGACAAUUUAUUUCAUCGCACAGAAUGAUUUGAAAGGUAAAAAUGCUUCAACACACGACACACGAACUCACAUAAAGAAUCUUGCUAUCCAAAAACGAAAUAACAACAAA